AGGCUCGGGUUGCCUCCCGGCGCGGACUCAUAAUCCGUCGGUCGCAGGUUCAAAUCAUGCAGAGCCUA
rnacentral:tRNA from 1 species